GACGAACGCUGUCGGCGUGCUUAACACAUGCAAGUCGAACGGAAAGGCCCUGCUUUUGUGGGGUGCUCGAGUGGCGAACGGGUGAGUAACACGUGAGUAACCUGCCCUUGACUUUGGGUUAACUUCAGGAAACUGGGGCUAAUACCGGAUAGGAGCUCCUGCUGCAUGGUGGGGGUUGGAAAGUUUCGGCGGUUGGGGAUGGACUCGCGGCUUAUCAGCUUGUUGGUGGGGUAGUGGCUUACCAAGGCUUUGACGGGUAGCCGGCCUGAGAGGGUGACCGGCCACAUUGGGACUGAGAUACGGCCCAGACUCCUACGGGAGGCAGCAGUGGGGAAUAUUGCACAAUGGGCGGAAGCCUGAUGCAGCAACGCCGCGUGCGGGAUGACGGCCUUCGGGUUGUAAACCGCUUUCGCCUGUGACGAAGCGUGAGUGACGGUAAUGGGUAAAGAAGCACCGGCUAACUACGUGCCAGCAGCCGCGGUGAUACGUAGGGUGCGAGCGUUGUCCGGAUUUAUUGGGCGUAAAGGGCUCGUAGGUGGUUGAUCGCGUCGGAAGUGUAAUCUUGGGGCUUAACCCUGAGCGUGCUUUCGAUACGGGUUGACUUGAGGAGGGUAGGGGAGAAUGGAAUUCCUGGUGGAGCGGUGGAAUGCGCAGAUAUCAGGAGGAACACCAGUGGCGAAGGCGGUUCUCUGGGCCUUUCCUGACGCUGAGGAGCGAAAGCGUGGGGAGCGAACAGGCUUAGAUACCCUGGUAGUCCACGCUGUAAACGGUGGGUACUAGGUGUGGGGUCCAUUCCACGGGUUCCGUGCCGUAGCUAACGCUUUAAGUACCCCGCCUGGGGAGUACGGCCGCAAGGCUAAAACUCAAAGGAAUUGACGGGGCCCCGCACAAGCGGCGGAGCAUGCGGAUUAAUUCGAUGCAACGCGUAGAACCUUACCUGGGUUUGACAUGGAUCGGGAGUGCUCAGAGAUGGGUGUGCCUCUUUUGGGGUCGGUUCACAGGUGGUGCAUGGCUGUCGUCAGCUCGUGUCGUGAGAUGUUGGGUUAAGUCCCGCAACGAGCGCAACCCUUGUUCACUGUUGCCAGCACGUUAUGGUGGGGACUCAGUGGAGACCGCCGGGGUCAACUCGGAGGAAGGUGGGGAUGACGUCAAGUCAUCAUGCCCCUUAUGUCCAGGGCUUCACGCAUGCUACAAUGGCUGGUACAGAGAGUGGCGAGCCUGUGAGGGUGAGCGAAUCUCGGAAAGCCGGUCUCAGUUCGGAUUGGGGUCUGCAACUCGACCUCAUGAAGUCGGAGUCGCUAGUAAUCGCAGAUCAGCAACGCUGCGGUGAAUACGUUCCCGGGGCU
rnacentral:rRNA from 1 species